rnacentral:rRNA from 1 species
UACGGAGGGUGCGAGCGUUGUCCGGAAUCACUGGGCGUAAAGGGCGCGUAGGUGGCCUGUGGAAGUCUGCGGUGAAAGCCCGGCGCUCAACGCCGGGUCGGCCGUGGAUACUCUCGGGCUCGAGCUUACUAGAGGCAGAUGGAAUUCCGGGUGUAGCGGUGGAAUGCGUAGAGAUGUGGAGGAACACCGAUGGCGAAGGCAGCCCCCUGGGUCAAGAUUGACGCUCAUGCACGAAAGCGUGGGGAGCAAACAGG